rnacentral:rRNA from 1 species
GAGUAGCGAGAGACGGGUGAAGAUCCCGUCCGCUGGAUGACCAAGGGUUCCAGGGCCACGUUCAUCGUCCCUGGGUGAGUCGGGUCCUAAGGCGAGGCCGACAGGCGUAGUCGAAUGGAUGAACGGGUCGAUAUUCCCGUACCGGCUUUCAGCCGCCAAAACCGAGGCUUGGAGUACUAACCUCCGGGUCCGGGCUUACUGCUCCUUCGGGGGCGGGAUGCCCUGGCCUGUUGGGACCGAUCCUUGUAGUAGGUCAGCGCAGGAGUGACGCAGAAGGGUAGCCGGCCGCGGAGGUGGUCUUCCGUGGUCAAGCACGCAGGGCGUGGGACAGGCAAAUCCGUCCCGCAUGGGUCCGAGGUGCGAUGAUGGGGGCCUUAUGGCCCGAUAUCCGGUGAUCCCGGCUGCCGAGAAAAGCUUCGGCGUCAGGCUCGAAGCCGCCCGUACCCCAAACCGACACUGGUGGUCAGGUAGAGAAUACCAAAGCGAUCGAGCGAAUCCUGGUCAAGGAACUCGGCAAAUCACUCCCGUUCCUUCGGUUUAAGGGAGACCCCCGAUGGUGAACACACUUGCUGUGGGAGCUUUUGGGGGUGGCACAGACCAGGGGGUAGCGACUGUUUACCAAAAACACAGGUGCAUGCGAAGGCGCAAGCCGCUGUAUAUGCACUGACGCCUGCCCGGUGCCGGAAGGUUAAGAGGAUCCGUCAGCCUUCGGGUGAAGCGGUGAAUUCAAGCCCCGGUAAACGGCGGUGGUAACUAUAACCAUCCUAAGGUAGCGAAAUUCCUUGUCGGGUAAGUUCCGACCUGCACGAAUGGCGUAACGACUUCCCCACUGUCUCGACCAGGAGCUCGGCGAAAUUGCAGUACGAGUAAAGAUGCUCGUUAAGCGCAGAAGGACGAAAAGACCCCGGGACCUUUACUAUACCUUGGUAUUGGCAUUCGGUGUGGAUUGUGUAGCAUAGGCGGGAGGCCGAGAGGCGCGGUCGCCAGAUCGCGCGGAGCCGUAAGGUGAAAUACCGCUCUGUUCGCAUUGGAUGUCUAACCUCGAACAGUCAUCCUGUUCAGGGACAGUGCCUGGCGGGUAGUUUAACUGGGGCGGUUGCCUCCCAAAGAGUAACGGAGGCGCCCAAAGGUCCGCUCAGCCCGGUUGGCAAUCGGGUGGCGAGUGCAAGUGCACAAGCGGGCUUGACUGCGAGGACGACGGUCCGAGCAGGGACGAAAGUCGGGACUAGUGAUCCGGUGCCGGUGUACGGACGCGGCAUCGCUCAACGGAUAAAAGGUACCCCGGGGAUAACAGGCUGAUCAUUCCCAAGAGUCCAUAUCGACGGGAUGGUUUGGCACCUCGAUGUCGGCUCGUCGCAUCCUGGGGCUGGAGCAGGUCCCAAGGGUUCGGCUGUUCGCCGAUUAAAGCGGCACGCGAGCUGGGUUCAGAACGUCGUGAGACAGUUUGGUCUCUAUCCUCUGCGCUCGUUGGAAUGCUGAGGAGGCCUGCCCAUAGUACGAGAGGACCUGGGUGGACGAACCUCUGGUAUGCCGGUUGUCACGCCAGUGGCACGGCCGGUUGGCUACGUUCGGAAGGGAUAACCGCUGAAAGCAUCUAAGCGGGAAGCCUGCUCCAAGAUAAGCAUUCCGUGGAACCUUCGAGUUCCUGUAGUCCCCAUGCAGAACACGUGGUCGAUAGGCCGGACGUGGAAGCCCCGCGAGGGGUGGAGCCGACCGGUACUAACGGACGAAAGGCA